UCCGGUGAAGUGUUCGGAUCGCGGCGACGUGGGCGGUUCGCUGCCGGCGACGUCGCGAGAAGUCCACUGAACCUUAUCAUUUAGAGGAAGGAGAAGUCGUAACAAGGUUUCCGUAGGUGAACCUGCGGAAGGAUCAUUGUCGAUGCCACGCAAAAAGAGCGACCCGUGAACCGGUUGGAACGAAACCACUGAGCGGGGGAGGGCCCGAGGGCUCCCCCGGCAACCAAACCCCGGCGCCCCAGGCGCCAAGGAAACGGAACAGAGCAAGGCACGCCCGCCGGCAUGCCAUUUGCGAUCCUAAACGACUCUCGGCAACGGAUAUCUCGGCUCUCGCAUCGAUGAAGAACGUAGCGAAAUGCGAUACUUGGUGUGAAUUGCAGAAUCCCGUGAACCAUCGAGUCUUUGAACGCAAGUUGCGCCCGAAGCCACUAGGCCGAGGGCACGUCUGCCUGGGUGUCACGCAACGUCGCCAACGCCCGGUCCUCCGGGCGCGGCGGAUGAUGGCCUCCCGGGGGCCUCGCCCCCCGGCCGGCCGAAAAAGGGGCCCGACGUGACGAGCGCCACGAUCCACGGUGGUUGAGCGGGCAUCCGCUCGGGGCCAUGACGUGCGCGCGUCGUGCCACGGAGAGGGCCCGUCGGCUGGGCGGACACGCCCACACUCGUACGCGACCCCAGGUCAGGCGGGGCUACCCGCUGAGUUUAAGCAUAUCAAUAAGCGGAGGAAAAGAAACUAACGAGGAUUCCCCUAGUAACGGCGAGCGAAC
rnacentral:rRNA from 1 species